rnacentral:ncRNA from 2 species
AGCCAUUCCGAGGGGUGCCGUUCCAUCAGGACGGCUGAGACCAGGCGCUUGGGCGUGCCGGGAACCCUUUGAACCUGAUCCGGGUCAUACCGGCGGAGGGAUAGGAACCUGAGCGUGCC